CAAUAGCGUAUAUUAAAGUUGUUGCAGUUAAAAAGCUCGUAGUUGGAUUUCUGGUGGGAGCGAUCGGUCUGGCGCUUAGCGCGAGUACUUGCAUCGUCUCCGGCCAUCCUUGGGGAAAGUCUGUCUGGCAUUAAGUUGUCGGGCAGAGGAUCCUCAUCGUUUACUGUGAAAAAAUUAGAGGGUUCAAAGCAGGCUUAUGCCGUUGAAUAUAUUAGCAUGGAAUAAUAAGAUAGGACUUUGGUACUAUUUUGUUGGUUUGCGCACCAAAGUAAUGAUUAAUAGGGACAGUUGGGGGUAUUCGUAUUCCGUUGUCAGAGGUGAAAUUCUUGGAUUUACGGAAGACGAACUACUGCGAAAGCAUUUACCAAGGAUGUUUUCAUUAA
rnacentral:rRNA from 1 species